ensembl:lncRNA
GUGAAAUGUGCCUUUGGUGUUUUGCUCUCUCGUUCAAGUUACUGCCAGCUGGAGAAAAGGCUGUUCUAGCUGCUCACAGUCCAACUGGAAGCACAGGCUUUAGGAAUACCUUGGGAAAGCCUGCUGAAAUUUCUGCAGUCAGCAUGCCUUGAAGCAGGCAGAGUGCAGGCACGGCGGGCUGCAACAGGCGGGGAUUUCACUGCUGCUGAUACUUCACUCUGAAGAAGAGACUCUCCUCCAUCCUCCCAGUAUGGGGAGCCAAGUAAGUUCCCCGGAGUGCAAUAGGUAUGAGCAGCAUCCCAAGCUUCUGUCACCAAGUUCAUCCAGAGGCACAGGGCCAGAAGAGUGGUAGAGUAGAACAGGAAGAGGAAAUUCUAACCAGGGAGAAGGGCUUCCUGGUAUCCACCCAAGUGAGCUUUAGAUGGAACAGGUUGAAAGGAAACCUGUUGGAAAGAGUAAAGAAAAUUUUGCACCAUUUAAAAAAAACUCAUUGUGAUCAAUGUUGAGUAAGACUGAGUUGCUUCUUAUAAGAAAAACAGCAUGCUAUAGUGGUUUAAGAGUGUGGGCCCUUUGGCCAUAAGUGCUCCAUUUGAAUCAUCCUUUCUGCUCACUGUAGGGGAAACUUUUUUUUUUAAAUUUAAUUUUAUUGGUACAUUUUAUUGCACCUUUACAUAAUCUCUCUUGGUUCUUAUUUUUCCUCCUUCCCUUGCCCUCCCUUCAAUCCCUCCAUCCCUCCCUAUUUACAAAGACUUUGUUUCCAUUUUUCCAUUUUCUCACUAUAGGGGAAACUUUGAGCAAGUCAUCAAAUAUCUGUGCUCAUUGAUUUCUUAUCUGUCAAAUGAUGACAGCUAUAGCACCCACACAUCCUUGGGUUGUUAUGAGGCUUUAGUCAAAUGUUAGCUAUCAAAUUGCAAGGGAUAAUGACAUAUUGUAUAUGCAUUCCACCUUUAAGAAAUGCUCAUUAGCUUUAGAAUAAUGCACCAUCUUGUCAAGUACAAGGACAUCCUUAGAGUUUGUAAAUUAGAUGACAAUUUUUGAUUUUUGAUUUUUGAGUUUUGGUUUUGUGUCCCAGUGAGAAAGGUUGGAUUGGUGUACUUAAAUUUUUUUUUUUUUGCUCAAUGAAGCAUAAGGGAUUAGAGAAGAAACUCUAAUGUUAGUUAUGUGCAUCUCUCUGUUUUCGUAACUUGGAAGCUCAGUUGUCAAUUUUUGGCACUUAUUUCAAAGACUGUUGAUGUGUUAUCUCUCACUGCAGUUCUGGCAGCAUCGCCACAGCCACCUAAUUCUCUGGGGCAGCUGAUGCUCAUCCUGCUCUUGACCAGCAAGGUGUUCUGUGGGCUGCUGUCUUUUGUAAUUUUCCUUUUAUAAUUUUCCACCGAGUUUCACCAUUCUUCUCCCCUGCCCUCAGUCACCAGCUGGGCACAUAAGCUUGUCCUUCAGAAAUGUUCAGAGGUCAGAAGAUUUAUUUUACUUUUUCCACCUUUGUUCAGGUAUGGGACCCAAGCUGUCAGAUUUAUACAGUGCUGGAGCAUUUUAGAUCAGACCACCUGCUCUUCACAUGUCAAAUCCAAUAGCAGUGUUGGCAGUUCUAUACAAAAAAUAUUCCGUAGCAAUAGGAAAAACAAAUUUUAGAGCAUUGUGCAUCCACAAUAAGAGAAGGUUAAUGAAGUGAGAAUCAUGAAAAUAAAUAUUUGGCUGAUUAGGU